UACGGAGGGGGCUAGCGUUGUUCGGAAUUAUUGGGCGUAAAGAGCGCGUAGGCGGUUUAUCAAGUUGGAAGUGAAAUCCCGGGGCUUAACCCCGGAACUGCUUUCAAAACUAGUAAACUAGAGAACGAUAGAGGAUGGUGGAAUUCCUAGUGUAGAGGUGAAAUUCUUAGAUAUUAGGAGGAACACCGGUGGCGAAGGCGACCAUCUGGGUCGUUUCUGACGCUGAGGUGCGAAAGCGUGGGGAGCAAACAGG
rnacentral:rRNA from 1 species